AUGGAAAGGAGGCAGCAUGAUAGCAGUCCUAUGACAGCAUCACUAUGGAUGACUGGACUGUCAUAUACCGGCAUUAUGAGGAUCCGGCAUAUCAGGUUACACAUUCAAACUUCAUCUCUUUUUAAAAUUUAAUUAUUGAAUCAUUUAUUCUUAAAUUAAAUAUCUACUAAUUUGACUGGUAACUAUACAGAGAAGAUGUACCCAGAAUGCC
rnacentral:lncRNA from 1 species